rnacentral:rRNA from 1 species
UACGGGGGGGGCAAGCGUUGUUCGGAAUUACUGGGCGUAAAGGGCUCGUAGGCGGCCAACUAAGUCAGACGUGAAAUCCCCAGGCUUAACCGGGGAACUGCGUCCGAUACUGGAUGGCUUGAGUCCGGGAGAGGGAUGCAGAAUUCCAGGUGUAGCGGUGAAAUGCGUAGAUAUCUGGAGGAAUACCGGUGGCGAAGGCGGCAUCCUGGACCGGCAUUGACGCUGAGGAGCGAAAGCCAGGGGAGCAAACGGG